rnacentral:rRNA from 1 species
CCUACGGGAGGCAGCAGUGAGGAAUAUUGGUCAAUGGGCGCGAGCCUGAACCAGCCAAGUAGCGUGAAGGAUGACUGCCCUACGGGUUGUAAACUUCUUUUAUAAAGGAAUAAAGUGAGGCACGUGUGCCUUUUUGUAUGUACUUUAUGAAUAAGGAUCGGCUAACUCCGUUCCAGCAGCCGCGGUAAUACGGAGGAUCCGAGCGUUAUCCGGAUUUAUUGGGUUUAAAGGGAGCGUAGAUGGGUUGUUAAGUAAGUUGGGAAAGUUUGGGGCUCAACCGUAAAAUUGCAAUGGAUACUGGCAGUCUUGAGUACAGUUGAAGCAGGCGGAAUUCGUGGUGUAGCGGUGAAAUGCUUAGAUAUCACGAAGAACCACGAUUGCGAAGGCAGCUUACUAAACUGUGACUGACACUGAUGCUCGAAAGUGUGGGUAUCAAACAGGAUUAGAUACCCGAGUAGUC